AUACGUAGGGAGCGAGCGUUGUCCGGAAUUACUGGGCGUAAAGGGCGCGUAGGCGGCGCUUCAAGUCGUCUGUCAAAUGGGAGGGCUUAACCCUUUUUCGCAGACGAAACUGGAGAGCUUGAGAAGCAGAGAGGCAAACAGAAUUCCUGGUGUAGCGGUGAAAUGCGUAGAUAUCAGGAAGAAUACCAGUGGCGAAGGCGGUUUGCUGGCUGCAUACUGACGCUGAAGCGCGAAAGCCAGGGGAGCGAACGGGAUUAGAUACCCCGGUAGUCCUGGCAGUAAACGAUGUAUGCUGGGUGUGAGACUAGCGAUAGUUUCGUGCCGAAGUUAACGCGAUAAGCAUACCGCCCGGGGAGUACGGUCGCAAGAUUGAAACUCAAAUGAAUUGACGGGG
rnacentral:rRNA from 1 species